rnacentral:rRNA from 1 species
UACGGAGGAUGCAAGCGUUAUCCGGAAUGAUUGGGCGUAAAGCGUCCGCAGGUGGCUGUGUAAGUCUGCUGUCAAAGAGCAAAGCUCAACUUUGUAAAGGCAGUGGAAACUACACGGCUAGAGUGCGUUCGGGGCAGAGGGAAUUCCUGGUGUAGCGGUGAAAUGCGUAGAUAUCGAGAGGAACACCUGCGGCGAAGGCGGGUUGCUGGGCUGACACUGACGCUGAGGCGCGAAAGCCAGGGGAGCGAACGGG